UACGAGGGGGGCAAGCGUUGUUCGGAAUUAUUGGGCGUAAAGGGUGCGUAGGCGGUUUGACAAGUCUUAUGUGAAAUCUAUGGGCUCAACCCAUAGUCUGCAUGGGAAACUGUCGGGCUUGGGUAUGGGAGAGGUGAGUGGAAUUUCCGGUGUAGCGGUGAAAUGCGUAGAUAUCGGAAGGAACACCUGUGGCGAAAGCGGCUCACUGGACCAUAACUGACGCUGAUGCACGAAAGCCAGGGGAGCAAACGGG
rnacentral:rRNA from 1 species